rnacentral:tRNA from 1 species
GCUUUCCUGUGGCUCAUUUGGUAGACCAUUGUGCUAACAACGCAAAGGUUGUGGGUUCAAAUCCCAGGGAAAGCA